GAGCGGCGAACGGGUGAGUAACACGUGAGUAACCUGCCCCUGACUCUGGGAUAAGCCCGGGAAACUGGGUCUAAUACCGGAUAUGACACCUGCUGGCAUGGNNUGGGUGUGGAAAGUUUUUCGGUUGGGGAUGGACUCGCGGCCUAUCAGCUUGUUGGUGGGGUAAUGGCCUACCAAGGCGACGACGGGUAGCCGGCCUGAGAGGGCGACCGGCCACACUGGGACUGAGACACGGCCCAGACUCCUACGGGAGGCAGCAGUGGGGAAUAUUGCGCAAUGGGCGAAAGCCUGACGCAGCGACGCCGCGUGGGGGAUGACGGCCUUCGGGUUGUAAACCUCUUUCAGCAGGGACGAAGUUGACGUGUACCUGCAGAAGAAGCGCCGGCUAACUACGUGCCAGCAGCCGCGGUAAUACGUAGGGCGCAAGCGUUGUCCGGAAUUAUUGGGCGUAAAGAGCUCGUAGGUGGCUUGUCACGUCGGGUGUGAAAGCUUGGGGCUUAACUCCAGGUCUGCAUUCGAUACGGGCUGGCUAGAGGUAGGUAGGGGAGAACGGAAUUCCU
rnacentral:rRNA from 1 species